rnacentral:tRNA from 1 species
GAAGUAAAUUAUUUAAAACUGAGCUUCUAACUCAGUUCAUAGUGGUGUAAUCCCAUUAAUACUUCU